rnacentral:rRNA from 1 species
CCUACGGGUGGCUGCAGUGAGGAAUAUUGGUCAAUGGGCGCGAGCCUGAACCAGCCAAGUAGCGUGAAGGAGGACUGCCCUACGGGUUGUAAACCUCUUUUAUAAAGGAAUAAAGUGAGGCACGCGUGCCUUUUUGGAAGUACUCUAUGAAUAAGGAUCGGCUAACUCCGUGCCAGCAGCCGUGGUAAUACGGAGGAUCCGAGCGUUAUCCGGAUUUAUUGGGUUUAAAGGGAGCGUAGAUGGGUUGUUAAGUCAGUGGUGAAAGUGUGCGGCUCAACCGUACGAUUGCAAUUGAUACUGGCAGCCUAGAGUACAGUUGAGGUAGGCGGAAUUCGUGGUGUAGCAGUGAAAUGCUUAGAUAUCGCGAAGAACUCCGAUUGCGAAGGCAGCCUACUGGACUUCCACUGACGUUGAUGCUCGAAAGUGUGGGUAUCGAACAGGAUUAGAUACCCCGGUAGUC